rnacentral:rRNA from 1 species
UACGUAGGUGGCAAGCGUUGUCCGGAAUCAUUGGGCGUAAAGCGCGCGCAGGUGGUUCCUUAAGUCUGCUGUGAAAGCCCCCGGCUCAACCGGGGAGUGUCAUUGGAAACUGGGGAACUUGAGUGCAGAAGAGGAAAGUGGAAUUCCACGUGUAGCGGUGAAAUGCGUAGAGAUGUGGAGGAACACCAGUGGCGAAGGCGACUUGCUGGACAGGCACUGACACUGAACUACGAAAGCGUGGGGAGCAAACAGG